AUUUGUUUGCUCUUCUGAAAAUCAACUUAGCAUCCAACGAUUAUAUUUCAAAAGGGCCUAUAUAAAAAAGAUUAAUAGAAAAAGAAACAUUUACUGCAUUUGAGAAAAAUGAAGAAAGAUGAUUAAAGCAAAAAUGUAGAAAAGAUGAAAAAUAUAAGAAGGGAAGAAAAGAAGAAAAAGAGAGAGAGAGAAUGUGGUCACGAAAAUAAUCAGUCAUUGACUGUACCUCAUCUUAUCUUUGAGCUUAUGAUGUUUGAUGCUUCCAAGAAAAAUUGAAGAUGAGAGAUGAAGAAAAGAAAAAGAGAGAAAUAAAGUAUUAUACUUGAGAUGCGAUAAAGAAAAGAAACAGAGAAAAGAAAUGAGGUUGAAAUCAACUGAGGUUGAAAUGAAAUGAAGAAAAAAAGAAUGAGGUUGAAAGCAUACCGAAAAGAAGAGAAGAAAAGAAAGAGAGUAUGCAUUGAAUAUUCACACUAUUGCUCACGAAACUCAUACACAUUGUCUAAAGCUCUUCCAUCUAGAAGGAAUGUUCAAAUCAAAAUAAGGUGAAUGAUUAACAAUGUUGUUGCUCAAGGCCUACAUCUUAUACAACUCUUCAAUCAAAGGAAAACAACUUCAUUAAAGAAAAGAGUAGAAGAUAAAAAUAGAGACUAGUCAUCUUACUGCCUUUCACACUUACAUU
rnacentral:lncRNA from 1 species